GAUGAACGCUGGCGGCGUGCCUAAUACAUGCAAGUCGAGCGAAAAGACGAGGCGCUUGCGCCUCUGACGUUAGCGGCGGGCGGGUGAGUAACACGUGUAUCAUCUACUUAUCUGACUGGGAUCACCUCGAGAAACCGGAUCUAAUACCGGAUAAUAUAUUGAACCGCAUGGGUCAAUGGAGAAAGUCGGUUUUUCGGUCAGGUCUAGCUGCUUCCGCGCCGCAUUAGCUAGUUGGUAAGGUAACGGCCUACCAAGGCGACGAUGCGUAGCCGACCUGAGAGGGUGAUCGGCGACAUUGGAACUGAGACACGGUCCAGACUCCUACGGGAGGCAGCAGUCGGGAAUGUUCGGCAAUGGGCGAAAGCCUGACGGAGCAACGCCGCGUGAGUGAUGACGGUCUUCGGUUCGUAAAGCCCUGUUAUGGGGGAAGAACAGAUGUCGACGGAGCUAUGGCCGUCUUGACGGUACCUAAUCAAAAAGCCCCGGCUAACUACGUG
rnacentral:rRNA from 1 species